rnacentral:lncRNA from 1 species
GGUCACUGAAUCACUUCAAGUAAGUAUCACUCGCAGCACGGGAUGCAUUGACAACAGAUUCUUCAGGUGGUGGAUCCGUAAGUAUGUACAAGAUCCUCUCGUACUCUAGGAUGAUCUUUAACUUCCAAUACCAGCUAUCGAAGUUGGAUUUGGUAAGCUUGUUGCUAUCCAACAGUGAACGGAGCGAUAGUAUGUUGGCCAUAGCUGAAAAGAAGAAAUGUAAAUCUAUUAGUAUAUGAAUUAUUUUAAUCCUAAAGAUAUGAAUUUUAGUUUAAAAGUUCUCUUACUAUUUUUUACGAAUUGAUAGCCCCCACC